UACAACUGCCAGCUGAUUUCUCAACAGAAACUUUGUAGACCAGAAGGGACUGACAAGAAAUAUUCACAGUGAUGAAAAAAGCAAGCACUUACAACCAAGAUUACUGUACCCAACAAGACUAUCAUUCAGAAUUGAAAGACAGAUGAAG